rnacentral:rRNA from 1 species
UACGAAGGACCCGAGCGUUAUCCGGAUUUAUUGGGUUUAAAGGGUGCGUAGGCGGCCUAGUAAGUCAGUGGUGAAAGCCCAUCGCUUAACGGUGGAACUGCCAUUGAUACUGCUAGUCUUGAGUAUGGUUGAGGUGGGCGGAAUGUGUCAUGUAGCGGUGAAAUGCAUAGAUAUGACACAGAACACCGAUUGCGAAGGCAGCUGACGAAACUGUAACUGACGCUGAGGCACGAAAGCGUGGGGAUCAAACAGG